UCCACGCAGUAAACGAUGAAUGUUAGUCGUUGGGUAGCUAGUCUAUUCAGUGAUGCAGUUAACACAUUAAACAUUCCGCCUGGGGAGUACGGUCGCAAGAUUAAAACUCAAAGGAAUAGACGGGGACCCCGUGCAAGUGGUGGAGCAUGUGGUUUAAUUCGAAAAUACGCGAAGAACCUUACCUAGCCUUGACAUUGAAGAAACACACUAGAGAUACAGUGGUGCCUUAGGGAGCUUUAUUACAGGUGCUGCACGGCUGUCGUCAGCUCGUGUCGUGAGAUGGUGGAAUUAGCG
rnacentral:rRNA from 1 species